CAAAGGGAGGCAGUGGAAGGGCGCCAGGGCCCCACCUCAUGGCCUAGAUGACUCGCCUGACCGCACUGUGGGGGUCCUGCUGAGGAAGCAUAAUGGGGUCUCCAACCCUCCCAUCCCAGAAUGACUCUACUCAUAAGGGAGGAGGUCUGGACACCCCGGUCCUGUGGGUGCCAUCUUGUGGGACCUUAAAUUCACAUGGAGGAGUGACACACAGGUGGGUGGGAGGACAGACCCCACCUCUGGAGGUGCUUCUAGGUCUCUUCCAGGAUGGCCGGGGAGGCGGCCACGCCAUGGGCCUUGGAGGCGAGGGCAGACAUCUUGGCAGCCAGGGUCCGGCUCUCACUCUCCAGCUGUUGGUGCCGUUUCUGCAGCCUCUGGCUGGAGCGCAGGUCCUGCGCUCAGGGGGAAGUGGGCGAGACAUGUGAGCAUCCACCCAUCAUCCACUCUGAGCACUGAUCACCCCUGUCCCUCCUCUUUCCCUACACCUCAUACCCCUCCUGGCCCCCGGCCGAGGCCCAGGCCUCGUGGCAUCAGCCCUAACACUCCCUUCUUGCCAGCAGGAGUUCUGUUAUGAGAUCAAGCAUGGGGACCUGGCCAAGAAGUCCCUGGAGGUCACCGUUUGGGAUUACGACAUUGGAAAAUCCAACGAUUUCAUUGGUUGUGUGGUUCUGGGCAUCCACGCCAAGGGGGAGCGCCUGAAGCACUGGUUUGACUGCCUGAAGAACAAGGACAAGCGCAUCGAGCGCUGGCACACGCUCACCAGCGAGCUCCCAGGGGCCGUGCUCAGCGACAGACGCCCACCCACCACUGCUACCCCUGCCGCCACCUGCGCCCAGCACGGCCGGCCCCGGGCAUCCCCAGCAGCCACCAAGGCCUGUGGCCCCCACACUGGGGGAGAUCCAGAACCCCUGCUUGGACACAGAGCCACUGCAGUCCCCGAUCGGAGGACGUGGAGGGCUCAGCCACUCUGGGACGGGGAGGGCAAGGAGCUGGGGUGGGGGGCUCUCAGCCCUCUGGGGCCCAAGAGGCUGGUGGUGGAAAGAGACCUCAGCACCUGCCCAGGGGAAGGGGACACGCCCAUCUGGGAGCAAAGACCCUUCUAGAGGCCAGCCCUGGCUGAGAGGACAGGAGUGUGGGGGCACCUUGGCGGACAGUGGGAACGGAGGAGGGAGGUGGUGAGCAGACAGACAGGUGGAGGAUGGGACCUUGAAGACUGGCUGCUCCAGCCCAAGAAAGCCUGACUGCAUCCCUCAUCUCUUUCGCUGCUGGGCAGAUGGAAGAAGUGGGCCUGCAAGCCGAAAGUCUGCCAGAGUUCCCGGAGGCUCCUGAUGACGGGUAAAUUGGCACAUGCUUCACUCAAUGAUUCCACAAGCCCUGGGGGUGAAUGAGACACAGGGCCUGCCCUCAGGGAGUUCCCAUCUAGUCAGGAAGCCGGAACAAACCAUUCCAACUGGGGUGAGAAAUACCAAGACCAGCUUGACCAGUCUGCAAGUACCGUGGGCUCUGCUGACUCUGCCGGGAGGUCAGGGAAGGCUUCCUGGAGGAGGCGGUGCUUCCGUAAGGCCUUGGAGGGUGAGUGGGGGCUUCUAAAAGCAGUCCAGGCAGUGGGAGUGGUCUAAAACGGCCUGGAGAGAGAAAGCCAAUGGGGCCGGGGUGCUGUGGACCCGGGGUCUCCUCUCCAGGGGAGGGUUUGUUAGGAAGGUGUGAGGCUCGAGGCAGGAGGUGGGGGACGUGAUGGAAACACCAUGGAGAAACUGGUGUAGGCUCAAGUUCAGACCUCAGACCCAAGUCUCCCACUCUGAUCUCUUUCUACUCCUGAGGGACCUCAAGGACGGAGCCCGCCCCUCCUCCUUCCCGGCAUAAGCAUCAGGUCAGCUGCGGUGGAGAAAAGGGUCUCUUGUGCUUGGAAAAAAAGCAAGCAUUCCUACACGUCCUGACUCUGCCCUUUCCCCUCCCCUCCACUCCCUGGCUCACACUGGGGGCCUCCGGGUGCUUGCUCGUGGCAUCUUGGUCCCGCUACCGCCACAGAUGUCCCUUUUGGGAGUAAUCAGUGGCAGUCCAGGGCCGUGUCUCUGGGGAGGCCUGUGGGGCCAGCUCCACCCUCCAGGAGCUGAGCAAGAAUCACCCUGGCUGGUGGGCCUGUCUGCUCCCCUGAGUCAGACUCCCCAGGAGGCUUGAGAGUAUCUGAAUCUUGGGGCCCAUGCCUGAAGCCCACAAACUUUCUCUGCCUACCAAGGGCCCCUCAGGAACGCUGGGUGAACAAAUGCAGAGCCAAGGAGUUGCACAGCCAGAGUCCCAGUGUGCUCAGCCCAUCAGUGUGUGAUGGAAACAGAGGCCCAGAGAGGUCAGGUGACCUGACCAGGGCCUUCCAGCCCCACACAUCAGGCCUUUCCCAGGUUGCAGGGAAAACAGGACCCCAGCCCCUACACAGUCCCUGGCUACCUGCUGCUCAUGGAGACUUGUCUCCCCAUCUUUAGGAAGGGUUUUUAUGUGAAGGUUUUUGCAUGCACUGGUCUGAACGCAUGUUCACAGCCCUGCAAGGUGGGUUUGAUUCUCAUCCCCAUCUUGCAGGUGAAACAGGUUCCCAGAGUCUGAGUAGUUUGCCAAGGCCACACAGCCAGGAAGGGGUGAACCAGGACUCAAACCCAGGUCCUCUGACUGCCACUUUCUCUCUCUGGGGGUCGGUACCCCCAGUCCCUUCCCUCCUGGUCUGUCGGAGACUCAGCAGAGACACCAGGUGAAGGCUCAGUAAGCUCAGGUGCAUGAUGGAGACCUGGGGUCUUGUCACUGUCCUGCCACCUCAUCCGCUGGCUUUGAAACCAUCCAUGCUACUUCAGGCUUCCCCAGAGGUGUCUAACCUGGCCCCCAAACUCAGCCACCCCACCCUAGCCUCUGGGGGCUGAGGCAAGGGUUCCUCUUUUCUCCACACAGAAUGGGCACCCUCUGGGGGCCUAAGGUAAGAGGUGGUCUAUUUCUAAAAGGCCUGGUGUCUAGUUAAGCUCUGGGUAUCUUCUUAGCUUUGCUUUUUUGGGGGUCUCAUUCAGAGAGGAGAUUUGACAGCCUCUCUGAAGACACAGAAGUGAAUGGCAAAGCGAGAAGAGGCUGUAUCCCCCACCUACCACGACUUCCUUAUUAGGCACAUGGGGAAUAAGGGGCCUGAAGGGGCACAGCUGGGACAAGAACCCAGAACUCCAGCCCCCCAGUCCAGGGCUCUCUACUGCCCAGGCUGUGCAAAUGGGGCUGGGACCGAAAGAUGGGGACAGUCAGGCUGGGAGGCAGGCUUACUGGCCAGCCAGCCCAGGGGCAGCACGGGCACUCGGGCAGGAACUCCCCAGGAAGUUUGGAAACCUUCCUUUCCUAGGAUCUCAGCACCCUUCUAGAUCCCGUGCAGAUUGUCUUUCUGUUAAAGCGUUUUGAGGCCGGGCACGAUGGCUCACGCCUGUAAUCCCAGCACUUUGGGAGGCCGAGGCUGGCGGAUCACCUGAGGUCGGGAGUUCGAAACCCGCCUGGCCAACACGACGAAAC